UACGUAGGGGGCGAGCGUUGUCCGGAUUUACUGGGCGUAAAGAGCGCGCAGGCGGCUGAUUAAGUCGAAUGUGAAAGCCCCCGGCUCAACUGGGGAGGGUCAUUCGAUACUGAUCAACUUGGAAGGCAGGAGAGAGAAGUGGAAUUCCCGGUGUAGUGGUGAAAUGCGUAGAUAUCGGGAGGAACACCAGUGGCGAAGGCGACUUCUUGGCCUGUUCUUGACGCUGAGGCGCGAAAGCUAGGGGAGCAAACGGG
rnacentral:rRNA from 1 species